rnacentral:misc_RNA from 1 species
CGGAUACUGAUACACUUAAACGGCGUAUAGCAUUGGCGGCUGUGGAGAAAAUGUUUUUGAGUGAAUUAAGUGAUAAUUUCUUUGCAAUCAUCAUUCCAACGGAGUAUGAUAUACUUAUGGCCAGUACACGAAAGACAGAAAUUGUCGGAGUGUUAGUUGAAGCUACAAAGAGUUCAUCUGACUAUGAACUUGAGGUGGUUUUCUCCAAUAGUUUCGAGUAUCAUGCAGCUGCUGAAUUGGUGAAGGAAGUUCAAUUUGAGGAAGUCGAAGGUGGUGUUAAAACUAGAAUUGUGAGGAAGUGAGUUGCAGCUAGUACAUGCCUUCAUACGUUUGUAGACUAUGCAGGGGAGCGGCAUCUUUCAUUGUAAAGACACAGGAUCAUUAAGAUUCAUUGCAUUGUGUGUGAGGGUACUCAGCAUCAAGGCCAAUCCCAAUGAAAAUUUAGCUUUGUUGUUCCUUUAGUGUUUCGUUUUUUGGUGGGCGUAAUUCUUUAUAGUAAAAGAAUGAUGAUUUUUCAAUACGAAACCAACUCCACACGAAUGUGUGAAAUGAGACUCUAUGGAUGUUCACAAAUAAUAUAAAAGAUGUUUUGUAUGCUGAUUCUUUGG